CGCCCUUCCUACGGGAGGCAGCAGUGGGGAAUUUUGGACAAUGGGCGCAAGCCUGAUCCAGCCAUGCCGCGUGCGGGAAGAAGGCCUUCGGGUUGUAAACCGCUUUUGUCAGGGAAGAAAUCUUUCUGGGUUAAUACCUCGGGAGGAUGNCGGUCCNGAG
rnacentral:rRNA from 1 species